GGAAAAGUGUUACAAGUGAUACCUCAACUAGCAAUCAACCAGUGAGUAAGAACCCAAGGCGAUCAUUUGCAAGAGGUGAGAAAGUUUUGUUUACUGGAUUUAGCAACACAACAUAUGAAGCCAACGUAAAAAAAAUUAGGUGGGGCUGUGGUUGACUCUCCCGACAGCUGCACUGUGCUUGUUACUGACAAAGUACGCAGAACUGUGAAGUUCCUCUGUGCGCUUGGUCAGGGCAAGCCUAUUGUCGACCCAGAAUGGAUUGUACAAUCUCACCGUUGCACAUGCUUUGAAGACCCUAUGAAUCACCUACUAUUGGAUGUGGAAGCCCAGUCGAGAUUCAAUUUCGACCUCCGACAGACAAUAAAUGAAGCAAAGAAGCAGCCAAUGUUAACUAGCUAUACAGUCUAUACCACACCCAGCGUUAAACCUCCUCCAGAUGACAUUAAAAGU